GGACAGCGCCAGACUGGGUUUUUGGUCUGGCGCAAGGCCGGUGUCCAUAGGUCCGUCUCGUCGUCCCCGUCCUCAAGGUGAUCUUCGUUUUCGAUGGGAAUCUCCGGUGAGAGAGAAAAGGAGGAGAGAAGGCGAUUGGGUUUCCGGUCGAGUUCGUGAUUCCGGCCACGGCGGCGAGCGUGACCGGUAUUGGUAGCUUCCUCUCGUCCUCGUGGUCUUCCCUAUGUACUCAGUUUUUUCAGAAGAGGUCGGGAGAGAGAGAUUCGAAGUGGAGAACUUUUGGGAUUUUCCGGCGAGGGUUCGACGGAUUCCGACGACUUCUGUGUUCGACUCAGGUAUCAAUCUUCAUCCAGUCGUCGAGCUUUACGUUUAUGUAUAAUUGGAAUUGAGAUUGGUUGGGUGUUGAAGAAGGUGGAUUUUGGGCAGUGACCACCGUGGGUGACCACUGUUCACGGCGGCGGCGGUAGUUGUAGUUGUGGUUUCUGGGUUUGGUCUAUGUUUAGGAUGAAUAUUAACUAUUGAGUUAUAGUUGGAGUUGGAAGAAUCAUGAUUGUUGGAAGGUUGAAGUGUAUUGCUGGGAUUAAGAACAAGUGUUCCUAUCGCAAUUUGGUAUUGAUACUUGUAUAUUGAUUCCAUAAAUGGUGUCAUGAAACUUUGUUUUCAGAUUCGUCGAAGAGGAAUGGUGGAUUAGAUGACAAUUCAGAAAUGGUAUCAAGGGUAGAUAUUGGCCGGUGGAGGAGUUGAUUGUUAUAUUUGAUUAACUGAAAUGGAAGAAUUGGGUAUUUGGAAAGGCUAAGUUAUUUUGCUGGGUUGCUUAGGAAGUUUGAGAGCAGUACAAGACUUUAUAUGGAUUUGAAGUUUGGUAGUUUUAGUUACUGUGCUUGAAUUUCAAGUUGGAGAGGUGUGUUGACGAAUUGGGAAGUACGGCCAACUAUGAUGAUAUGAACUAAUGUAUAAUGGUGAUUGUUGGACUUUUGUGUUAUAGUGGAAGCUGCCGUAUAUGAAGACAUGUUCAUUGUGAAUAAGUUUACAAGUUACUUGUUAUGCGGGUGUAAAGGAGAAGACAAGAGUGAUCAUGAUUUAGAGAGGAAGUAAUUAAGAGGAUUUGGGUGUCCUUAGCAAAUUCUGAGGAUCUUUGAUCGUAUUUGGUUUGAAGUAAUUCGCUGACUUUCUUGGAAUAAGGUGAUACGUGGAUCGAAUGCAAGUAGCAGGAUUCCGAAAGCAGAAGGAUAAAGAUUUCAAAAUGCGUGUCGCAGUGUUACUAAUUUUAGCUAGCGUCGGAAGUAGCGUUUGGAAUCCAGGUGUUUGAAAGCCACUGACACCGAAUUUGGGGUGUGACACUUGGUCACGGAGGCAUAGAUGGCGUUGAGAUGGCGAGGUCAAGCACUCUACAUAGAACGGAAGGCCUGUGACGUUGGUGAGCGGUGUGGGUGAGGUGGAGUGUAUCAUAGCAGGCAGGCGGGUUUGGUUGUGUCAUUUCAGCCUUGCU